AGCUACAGGAGAGCCUUCGCAUUGAUUCAUGGCUGGCGUCAGCGUUGAGCUGCUGGUGGUCCUGACUGCGAUUCUGCUGGUUUCAGUAGAGGGAUGGGCGCGGAUCAAGAAAAUUCAACGUACUAAUGUUUGAGAGUCUGAUCCACGAAGUGUUAACUUGCCAGACGACAGCGGUGAAGAUGCAGUUGAGGAUUCACUACUUCAAGUUGAAGGCGCCACCACCAGUGGAAACUUGUACAACUUUGCUAACCAUGGAGACCAGAUUGACGCAGUAGAUUCUAGUUAAAGAACAUGGCGCAGAGGUACUGAUAGUGGUUUCCAGAUGGAAUUUGAAGAUCCCUUCAAAGAGCCAGACCAGCAGUACCAGUCAGCGUCGGACUGGGCUAGAUGUAGUCUGCAGUGACGUUGGCUUCCAAAUUACUCUGACGGGUUCAUUAAGUGAAGUUAAAGUUGUGGGCUCAAAGGAUCUGCUGGCUGUCAUGGAUGCUCCAGACUCUUGUGGUUAUGAAGUGAACCCUUUGUCUUGGCUGUACCCUUCAUCGGGUGCUAUGUGAAAUGGAUCUAUUUCAUGUGCUUUACAGAAGUGUGUUUAGCAGCAGAUAGGCCAUGUGAACAACGGUGCUUUGAUGGAAAGGCACCAUGAGGGUGCUGCAGAAGACUUAUGAAGAUAAGGGGGAAGAAUAAAUAUACCAUGUUUUUAACACGUA